ncrna:unclassified sequences LOOT RNA
UGCCUAAACCUUAUAAAUUCUAUAAGGCAUGGUAUAAAAACCCAUCGAAGAUAUUAAGCUCGUCGUCAGAGCACUCUUCGAUGGGUCAUAUCCCGAAAGGGGUAUGGGUGGUCGCAAGACCAUC